UCUUAAUUUGUCUCAAGUUCGAUAAAAUGAGCAACCUUUAUACUUACUGAGUGUGUUGGAUUUUUGUUAUGGCUCAUGAAAUUUUUUGAGGGAAUAGAUAAUAGAAAUUUUUCACACUAGGGACUUAACUUAAAAUAUAUUAUAAGAAAUUUUGUUUUUUUUGUUUUUUGUUUUUUUGUUUUUUGUUUUUUGUUUUGUUUUUUUUUAUUCAAGGGAAAUAACAAUGAAAAGAAAGGUACAUACUUGAAGAAGGGAGGAUAGAAAGAACACGGUUUUCCCCCCCAUACUUAAAUGAAACAUUG
rnacentral:lncRNA from 1 species